rnacentral:piRNA from 1 species
AUAUGGUGAUAAUGGUCCCGAUC